rnacentral:rRNA from 1 species
GCGGCGGACGGGUGAGUAACACGUGGGCAACCUGCCCUGCAGACUGGGAUAACUUCGGGAAACCGGAGCUAAUACCGGAUAACACCGAAAACCGCAUGGUUUUCGGUUGAAAGGCGGCUUUUAGCUGUCACUGCAGGAUGGGCCCGCGGCGCAUUAGCUAGUUGGUGAGGUAACGGCUCACCAAAGGCGACCGAUGCGUAGCCGACCUGAGAGGGUGACCGGCCACACUGGGACUGAGACACGGCCCAGACUCCUACGGGAGGCAGCAGUAGGGAAUCUUCCGCAAUGGACGAAAGUCUGACGGAGCAACGCCGCGUGAGCGAAGAAGGUCUUCGGAUCGUAAAGCUCUGUUGUCAGGGAAGAACAAGUGCCGUUCGAACAGGGCGGUACCUUGACGGUACCUGACGAGGAAGCCACGGCUAACUACGUGCCAGCAGCCGCGGUAAUAC